CAACAACUUCGGAUCAGUCCAGGUUCAUCUCCUUCUCUGUAACCUUGCUUCCUGGGUUGUAGUGUUCCUCUGUGUCACGAAAGGCAUCAGGUCUGUAGGAAAGGUGGUAUAUGUGACUGCAUUGGUGCCGUAUGUCCUGCUGACGGUGCUGCUCAUAAGGUCGUGCAUGAUGCCGGGAGCAGGGGAGGGAAUACUGUACUUCUUACGUCCAGACUUCUCACGACUAGCUUCUGUUCAGGUGUGGUUGGAAGCGCUGCUCCAAGGUUUUAUUUCAACGAGCGUUACGUACGGCGGACUCAUCACCAUGAGCAGCUACAACAACUUCUACAACAGACCAUUGAAGUAAAUAGUCAUAUUUAACUUCUGAACGUAGUUACAAACAGCGUGGUCUUUAAUAAUGAUGACGAUG